CCAGGAAGUGCUGGACUAGCCUCUUUUAGCUGCAUGGGACCACAUGGGAAACAUUACAAACAGAGGUGACUCCACACUCUUCUUAAAGGUGAGUCAGUGAGAGAGAGAGGCUGACUACUUCGCUCUUAACGGGUGGACGAUAUCAUACUAAAAUUAUUAUUGUAUGUUUUUAAAUUGUAUCUAUUGAGAAAGGGUCCCUUUGUAUAAGCCUGUUGGCGUCCACUCUCCUGACACACCUUUAAUAUUUGUAUAAUCUUGAUCUUGGUGUGUGCAAAUAAAAAAAGUGUUGUGACUUUGCACAGACAGAGGAGAAAGGGAGUUGGAAUAUAAGGAAUAGAUUUCAGGCUUCCUCAGAGAGCCUGAGAGCCUGAAACUCCUGGUCUCAGAUUGAAAAUUGGAGAACAAUCUUUUUGCUCUGCUUGUUCCCUCGCUGCUUGAAUGAGUGUUUUUCGCCAUCACAGACAGUGAAGAUAAAAAAGAUGAAUAAAAAGUUUGUCUCCAAAAGAAGUCUCGGCUCCUAACGACGCAUUUAAAAGAGCGAGGUUGACGUUGUGCCUGGAAAAAAAGGUUGAAUGUUUAUCUCAAAGCCACACAUGCACAUAAACUCUGCUCUUCUCAACUCUCUCUCCCAGGAGACAUUUUCUCUCAGGCAUGAAAAUACAGAUGUAAAACAAUGACUAUGAAGAUUCACUUUUCACAGUUGAAGACGUUCCAAUAAACCGUUGAUGCCUA